GACGUAGGAGGCGAGCGUUAUCCGGAUUCACUGGGCGUAAAGCGCAUGUAGGCGGAUGUCUAAGUCGUGUGUUAAAGCCCCUGGCUCAACUGGGGGAGGUCAUGCGAGACUGGAUGACUUGAGGGCAACAGAGGCACGUGGAACUCCCGGUGUAGCGGUGGAAUGCGUAGAGAUCGGGAAGAACAUCGGUGGCGAAGGCGGUCUGCUGGGCCGUUGCUGACGCUGAGGCGCGACAGCGUGGGGAGCAAACAGG
rnacentral:rRNA from 1 species